rnacentral:rRNA from 1 species
AUGAACGCUGGCGGCGUGCCUAAUACAUGCAAGUCGAGCGAACAGAUGAGGAGCUUGCUCCUCUGACGUUAGCGGCGGACGGGUGAGUAACACGUGGAUAACCUACCUAUAAGACUGGGAUAACUUCGGGAAACCGGAGCUAAUACCGGAUAAUAUAUUGAACCGCAUGGUUCAAUAGUGAAAGACGGUUUUGCUGUCACUUAUAGAUGGAUCCGCGCCGCAUUAUCUAGUUGGUAAGGUAACGGCUUACCAAGGCAACGAUGCGUAGCCGACCUGAGAGGGUGAUCGGCCACACUGGAACUGAGACACGGUCCAGACUCCUACGGGAGGCAGCAGUAGGGAAUCUUCCGCAAUGGGCGAAAGCCUGACGGAGCAACGCCGCGUGAGUGAUGAAGGUCUUCGGAUCGUAAAACUCUGUUAUUAGGGAAGAACAAAUGUGUAAGUAACUAUGCACGUCUUGACGGUACCUAAUCAGAAAGCCACGGCUAACUACGUG